CGUAAUCGUGUGUUGUUUGGCGAGGCUCGUCUCAUUUUAUUUUAAAGGUAAAUCUACGAGCAACUACAUUUUCUGAUAUUGGUUUUGUCUCUAAUACAAUAAGGAAAAUCAAUUACGCGAAAACUGAACUAAACAUUGAAAAUGAUACACUGAAAUUCAGUAGUCCAAACUCAACAAUGAGUUGGACCAAUGACGGGUCUCAUAAACGGCCCAAGGACUAUGGCUAAGCAGAUGUGAAGGAAGCCCAGGUGACAGAUGACUACACCUAGGAUCGAAUCCCCUGAGAGAGGAACUCGUUUUACAGUCUACUAUUGAAUUCUCACCAAGCCAUAUUCCAUCCUGCAAGGGCCAGUACCCACCCAACAUUCUUUUGCAAAAGACUUUAACAGGUUGGCCUAUAACGUGCAAAAUCCAGGCCCAAACAACUCCAAAUACACCCAACUUGAUUACUUAGGCAAUUAACAUUUGUCAAGAACUCAGUAGUCCCAACUUCAAUUUAGACAGAAAGAAGAAUUCAAACUAAUAUAGAAACUCAUAUUACCUUUUAAGAUUAUCCUAUAUCAAACUAAAAAGCAUGCAAUAUCGAAUUUCGAAUGGCAAGUAACUAUAUCAAACAGUGAUUCACAAGCUCAAUUUCGAAUACAAAUAGCAGGAGACAUAACAUAUAUUUAACAGUACCAAUAACUCAGAUCUAGCUAUAGGAAUCAAUUGUCAGUGCAUACCAAACUAAUCUAAACAAGUAAUCUAUUCAUCAAUGAAGUCACUAAGUUUCACAGUCCAACAAGCACUUGUUUAGUUACAUGAGUCGAAUACUGACUUGCAUCUCUAGUUUUAACCUAGGAUAUAAUUGUAAUGAAAAUAAUGAACUUCAUAUAUUAAAUAUUAAUGCUAAAAUCACAUCACACUUAAAAUACAACUCCAUAGUAGAUAGUUCACUUCAAUCCGGCUUCAUAUUUCUAGUUAAAUAAAGAUACAUAGUGUCAAACUUCAGGAUGUGUAUCUGGUAUUUGGAUUACAGUGAAAGAAGAAGGAGUUAGCAGGAGCAUAUUAAGCAGCUACAAUAUCCAAUAACAGUAUUCAGCAGCUCAAAGAGGGUUAAACAUUAGAAACCAUUCUCAAACAGCAAAUUAAACAAAUAUGAUUUGACACAAAAUAGCUUCACCCAACACUAAAUAGCACACUACUCAAUCACUGCAUCAAUUGAAGGAUUCAAACCAAUCCUAAUACACCCAAAAAUCAACAAAAAUAGAUCCAGGAGACUACUAAGUCAUGACAACCAAAAUCUGGACUGAGAAGUGAUAUAUUGAAAGCUGAAAAUCGAAGUCACUCCAUGACUAAUGGAAUAGUAACCUUUAAUUUUUUUUUUGAAUGUUUUGAUUUUUUAUCUUGGUUUUUGAGUGUGAAAAAGCUUCAGAUCUGAAAAGUAUAAGGGCCAGCAUUUUU
rnacentral:lncRNA from 1 species